GGAGGGAUCAUUAGAGGGUCGCGAGGCCUCCUAAUCUCUCCAACCAACCCGCGUACCACCCGAGGGGGCCCGAAAGGGCCACUACAGACUGCCUCGGUCGGCGGCCCCAGGGGGGGCCUCUGCCCACGUCCGGCGCGUGACUGCCCGGCGCGGGUGCCGGCCGGUGGCCCAAACCAAAACUACCGUAUAAUACCUAUUACCUUCUGAAGAAACGAGAAAUCAUUACAACCUGCAACGAUGGAUCUCUUGGCUCUGGCAUCGAUGAAGAACGCAGCGAAAUGCGAUACGUAAUGUGAAUUGCAGAUCUCUCAGUGAACCAUCGAAUUUUUGAACGCACAUAGCGCCCGCCGGUCAUUCCGGCGGGCAUGCCUGUCCGAGCGUCGAUGACGCCGCUCGAGCCCCCGUGCUCGGUGUUGGGGCGCUAGGUCUCCCAGAGGCCUAGGCCCCCAAGUAGCAGUGCGCGGUCCGGCUGCGGGCCCCGGGUACAGUAACUUCACCGUUGAGAUGCCCUGGGACUCGCUGGCCGGGUCAGCCGUAAAACCCCCGACAUAGGCCUCCCCCCGCCCGCCCCCGGGUGACGGGAGACCGCCUAAUGUUGACCUCGGAUCAGGUAGGACUACCCGCUGAACUUAAGCAUAUCAAUAAGCGGAGGAAAAGAAACCAACAGGGAUUGCCCCAGUAGCGGCGAGCGAAGCGGCAAGAGCUCAGAUUUGAAAUCUGGCCGCCCACGGCGGUCCGAGUUGUAAUCUGCAGGCGGGUUCUCUGGCGAGCGCGCACCACCUAAGUCUCCCUGGAACGGGGCGCCAUAGAGGGUGAGAGCCCCGUGAGGAGGGGCGCGCGAGCCUGUGUGAGGCCUGUCCGACGAGUCGAGUAGUUUGGGAAUGCUGCUCUAAACGGGAGGUAUAUUCCUUCUAAAGCUAAAUACCGGCCAGAGACCGAUAGCGCACAAGUAGAGUGAUCGAAAGGUGAAAAGCACUUUGAAAAGAGAGUGAAACAGUACGUGAAAUCGUUGCAGGGGAAGCGCUGGUUACCAGUCGCGCACCUGGGGGUUCAGCCUUCGCCUCGGCGUCGGUGUACUCCCCCAGGCUGCGGGUCAGCACCGGCUCCCGCGGCGGGAUAAAUGCCCAGGGAACGUGGCCCUCGCUUCGGCGGGGGUGUUAUAGCCCUGGGCGCAGUGCCGCCCGCCGGGGGCCGAGGACAUUCGCGCCUUCGGGCUAGGAUGCUGGCAUAAUGGUCAUCAGCGUCCCGUCUUGAAACACGGACCAAGGAGUCAAGCACUGCUGCGAGUGUUAGGGUGUCAAACCCGACCGCGCAAUGAAAGUAAAAACCUUCUGGGUGGGAACCCUCCGGGGGGCACCACCGACCGGGCCUGAAGCUUCUGCGGAGGGACCUGAGUAAGAGCAUCAGUGCUUGGACCCGAAAGAUUGCGAACUAUGCCUGUGUAGGGUGAAGCCAGAGGAAACUCUGGUGGAGGCUCGCAGCGGUUCUGACGUGCAAAUCGAUCGUCAAACAUGGGCAUGGGGGCGAAAGACUAAUCGAGCAAUCUAGUAGCUGGUUGCCGC
rnacentral:misc_RNA from 1 species